UGGGGAAUUUUGGACAAUGGGCGAAAGCCUGAUCCAGCAAUGCCGCGUGUGUGAAGAAGGCCUUCGGGUUGUAAAGCACUUUUGUCCGGAAAGAAAUCCUUGGCUCUAAUACAGUCGGGGGAUGACGGUACCGGAAGAAUAAGCACCGGCUAACUACGUGCCAGCAGCCGCGGUAAUACGUAGGGUGCAAGCGUUAAUCGGAAUUACUGGGCGUAAAGCGUGCGCAGGCGGUUUGCUAAGACCGAUGUGAAAUCCCCGGGCUCAACCUGGGAACUGCAUUGGUGACUGGCAGGCUAGAGUAUGGCAGAGGGGGGUAGAAUUCCACGUGUAGCAGUGAAAUGCGUAGAGAUGUGGAGGAAUACCGAUGGCGAAGGCAGCCCCCUGGGCCAAUACUGACGCUCAUGCACGAAAGCGUGGGGAGCAAACAGGAUUAGAUACCCUGGUAGUCCACGCCCUAAACGAUGUCAACUAGUUGUUGGGGAUUCAUUUCCUAGUAACGUAGCUAACGCGUGAAGUUGACCGCCUGGGGAGUACGGUCGCAAGAUUAAAACUCAAAUGAAUUGACGGGGUCAUA
rnacentral:rRNA from 1 species